rnacentral:rRNA from 1 species
GAUGAACGCUGGCGGCGUGCCUAAUACAUGCAAGUCGAACGGACAGACCAGAAGCUUGCUUUUCGGUUGAUAGCGGCGGACGUGAGAGUCACACGUGGAAAAACUACCUAUAAGACGGGGAUAACUUCGGGAAACCGGAGCUAAUACCGGAUAAUAUUUUGAACCGCGUGGGUCAAAAGUGAAGGACGGUCUUGGGGUCACGUAUUGAUGGAUCCGCGCUGCAUUAGCUCGUUGGGACGGUAACGGGUUUCCAAGGCAACUAUGCCUAGGCGACCUCAGAGGGUGAUCGGCGACACUGGAACUGAGACACGGUCCAGACUCCUACGGGAGGCAGCAGUAGCGAAUCCUACGCAAUGGGCGAGAGCCUGACAGAGCAACGCCGCGUGAGUGAUGAAGGUCUUCGGAUCGGAAAACUCUGUUAUUAGUGAAUAACAUAUGUGUAAUGAGCUGUGCAGAUCUUGACGGUACCUAAUCAGAAAGCCCCGGCUAACUACGUG